UACCAUUUGAGGGACUUAUACUACUAGAU
rnacentral:piRNA from 1 species